UACAGAGGUCCCUAGCGUUGUUCGGAUUUACUGGGCGUAAAGGGCGCGUAGGCGGCCGAGCAAGUCAAGUGUGAGAUCUCCGGGCUCAACCCGGAACGUGCGCUUGAGACUGCCUGGCUGGAGGCCGGGAGAGGGAAUCGGAAUAUAGGGUGUAGCGGUGAAAUGCGUUGAUAUCCUAUAGAACACCGGAGGCGAAGGCGGAUUCCUUGGACGGCACUGACGCAGGCGCGAAAGUCGGGGGAGCAAACAG
rnacentral:rRNA from 1 species